rfam:Populus trichocarpa scaffold_16_contig_117, whole genome shotgun sequence.
UCUAAAACUCGAGAUGUGGGUUAAACACUGAACAGUGUCUGGGCUGUAGGACAUAUUCCGACUUCUCUUUUGUUGCUACAAUUUAAACUUGAAAACGGUCUUUUUGAAUCUUGGACUCCCAUGAAAGUUUUAGGCCUAUGUCUUAGCUUUUUAUU